AGUGAACGCUGGCGGUAGGCCUAACACAUGCAAGUCGAACGGCAGCACAGUAAGAGCUUGCUCUUACGGGUGGCGAGUGGCGGACGGGUGAGGAAUACAUCGGAAUCUACUUUUUCGUGGGGGAUAACGUAGGGAAACUUACGCUAAUACCGCAUACGACCUACGGGUGAAAGCAGGGGAUCUUCGGACCUUGCGCGAUUGAAUGAGCCGAUGUCGGAUUAGCUAGUUGGCGGGGUAAAGGCCCACCAAGGCGACGAUCCGUAGCUGGUCUGAGAGGAUGAUCAGCCACACUGGAACUGAGACACGGUCCAGACUCCUACGGGAGGCAGCAGUGGGGAAUAUUGGACAAUGGGCGCAGGCCUGAUCCAGCCGUACCGCGUGGGUGAAGAAGGCCUUCGGGUUGUAAAGCCCUUUUGUUGGGAAAGAAAAGCAGCAGGUUAAUACCCCGCUGUUCUGACGGUACCCAAAGAAUAAGCACCGGCUAACUUCGUG
rnacentral:rRNA from 1 species